AGAGUUUCAUUCUGGCUCAGAUUGAACGCUGGCGGAAUGCUUUACACAUGCAAGUCGAACGAUGAACCUUAGCUUGCUAAGGGGAUUAGUGGCGAACGGGUGAGUAAUAUAUCGGAACGUGCCUUGUAAUGGGGGAUAACUAGUCGAAAGAUUAGCUAAUACCGCAUACGCCCUGAGGGGGAAAGUAGGGGAUCUUCGGACCUUACGUUAUAAGAGCGGCCGAUAUCUGAUUAGCUAGUUGGUGGGGUAAUGGCCUACCAAGGCGACGAUCAGUAGCUGGUCUGAGAGGACGACCAGCCACACUGGAACUGAGACACGGUCCAGACUCCUACGGGAGGCAGCAGUGGGGAAUUUUGGACAAUGGGCGCAAGCCUGAUCCAGCCAUUCCGCGUGAGUGAAGAAGGCCUUCGGGUUGUAAAGCUCUUUCGCAAGGGAAGAAAACUUACUUUCUAAUAAAGAGUGAGGCUGACGGUACCUUGAUAAGAAGCACCGGCUAACUACGUGCCAGCAGCCGCGGUAAUACGUAGGGUGCGAGCGUUAAUCGGAAUUACUGGGCGUAAAGCGUGCGCAGGCGGUUUGGCAAGUCAGAUGUGAAAUCCCCGAGCUCAACUUGGGAACUGCGUUUGAAACUGCCAGACUAGAAUAUGUCAGAGGGGGGUAGAAUUCCACGUGUAGCAGUGAAAUGCGUAGAGAUGUGGAGGAAUACCAAUGGCGAAGGCAGCCCCCUGGGAUAAUAUUGACGCUCAUGCACGAAAGCGUGGGGAGCAAACAGAAGGAGAUACCCUGGUAGUCCACGCCCUAAAC
rnacentral:rRNA from 1 species